rnacentral:rRNA from 1 species
AAUCAAGCGCGAGAAGGGCGUUUGGUGAAUGCCUUGGCAGCAAGAGGCGAUGAAGGACGUGAUACUCUGCGAUAAGUCAUGGGGAGCUGAGAAUAAGCUUUGAUCCAUGAAUUUCCGAAUGGGGCAACCCACUGGAUAUUCUAUUAUAAUUACCUCUGGUAUUUAUAAUGGGGUAAACCCAGUACUUCUUACCUGAAUACAUAGGGUUUGAAGAGCAAACCCGGGGAACUGAAACAUCUAAGUACCCGGAGGAAAGGACAUCAAUUGAUACUCCCCUAGUAGCGGCGAGCGAACGGGGAUCAGCCGAGCCUUGAGAGUGACUAGAAUGCGCUGGGAAGCGCAGCCAUAGCGGGUGAUAGCCCCGUAUAGGAAGCUCGAUAGGACGUAUUAAGUAGGGCGGAACACGUGAAAUUCUGUCUGAAGAUCGGAGGACCACCUUCGAAGGCUAAGUACUCCUUGCUGACCGAUAGUGAACCAGUACCGUGAGGGAAAGGUGAAAAGCACCCCGACGAGGGGAGUGAAACAGUUCCUGAAACCGAACGCCUACAAUCAGUCGGAGCUUGACUGGACUCUAAUGACAUUAUCAUUAGUGUCCAGUCUUGUGACGGCGUACCUUUUGUAUAAUGGGUCAUCGACUUGGUCUAUCUAGCAAGCUUAAGCCGAUAGGUGUAGGCGCAGCGAAAGCGAGUCUUAAUAGGGCGUCGAGUUAGAUGGAUCAGACCCGAAACCGAGUGAUCUAGGCAUGACCAGGAUGAAGGUACGGUAACACGUACUGGAGGUCCGAACCCACACCUGUUGAAAAAGGUCGGGAUGAGUUGUGCCUAGGGGUGAAAGGCCAAUCAAACUCGGAGAUAGCUGGUUCUCCGCGAAAUCUAUUUAGGUAGAGCGUCAUCCGAAUACCCCCGGGGGUAGAGCACUGGAUGGGUAAUGGGGCCCCACAGGCUUACUGAUCCUAACCAAACUCCGAAUACCGGGGAGUACUAGAUGGCAGACACACUGCGGAUGCUAACGUCCGUAGUGGAGAGGGAAACAACCCUGACCUACAGCUAAGGCCCCCAAUUCAUGGCUAAGUGGGAAAGCAGGUGGGACGACCAAAACAACCAGGAGGUUGGCUUAGAAGCAGCCAUCCUUUAAAGAUAGCGUAACAGCUCACUGGUCUAAAUAAGUUGUCCUGCGGCGAAGAUGUAACGGGGCUCAAGCCAUGAGCCGAAGCUUAGGAUGCGUGAGCAUGGUAGCGGAGCGUAGUGUGAUAUAGCGUGCUUUCGAUGAAGCCGGCGCGUGAGCGAUCCGGUGGAGAGAUCACUAGUGAGAAUGAUGACAUGAGUAGCGACAAAGAGUGUGAGAGACACUCUCGCCGAAAGUCCAAGGGUUCCUGCUUAAAGCUAAUCUGAGCAGGGUAAGCCGACCCCUAAGGCGAGGCCGAAAGGCGUAGUCGAUGGGAACCAGGUUAAUAUUCCUGGGCCAGGAGGAUGUGACGGAUUGUGGCGGCGUGCGUGCCUUAUCGGAUUGGCGCGUAUCCAAGACAGUCCCUGGAAAUAGCCCUCCAUUAGAUCGUACCCUAAACCGACACAGGUGGACUGGUAGAGAAUACCAAGGCGCUUGAGAGAACGAUGUUGAAGGAACUCGGCAAAAUACCUCCGUAAGUUCGCGAGAAGGAGGCCCGGCGUAAGAGCGUCGGGGGCACAAACCAGGGGGUGGCGACUGUUUAUUAAAAACACAGGGCUCUGCGAAGUCGCAAGACGACGUAUAGGGUCUGACGCCUGCCCGGUGCCUGAAGGUUAAAAGGAGGGGUGCAAGCUCUGAAUUGAAGCCCAGGUAAACGGCGGCCGUAACUAUAACGGUCCUAAGGUAGCGAAAUUCCUUGUCGGGUAAGUUCCGACCUGCACGAAUGGCGUAACGACUUCCCCGCUGUCUCCAACAUCGACUCAGCGAAAUUGAAUUGCCUGUCAAGAUGCAGGCUACCCGCGGUUAGACGGAAAGACCCCGUGCACCUUCACUACAGCUUCGCACUGGCAUCAGACACAACAUGUGCAGGAUAGGUGGUAGGCUUCGAAGCAGGGACGCCAGUCUCUGUGGAGCCACCCUUGAGAUACCACCCUUGUUUUGUUUGAUGUCUAACCGCGGCCCGUUAUCCGGGUCCGGGACCCUGCGUGGUGGGUAGUUUGACUGGGGCGGUCGCCUCCUAAAGCGUAACGGAGGCGCGCGAAGGUUGGCUCAGAGCGGUCGGAAAUCGCUCGUUGAGUGCAAUGGCAGAAGCCAGCCUGACUGCAAGACUGACAAGUCGAGCAGAGUCGAAAGACGGCCAUAGUGAUCCGGUGGUCCCAAGUGGGAGGGCCAUCGCUCAACGGAUAAAAGGUACGCCGGGGAUAACAGGCUGAUACUGCCCAAGAGUCCAUAUCGACGGCAGUGUUUGGCACCUCGAUGUCGGCUCAUCUCAUCCUGGGGCUGGAGCAGGUCCCAAGGGUAUGGCUGUUCGCCAUUUAAAGAGGUACGUGAGCUGGGUUUAGAACGUCGUGAGACAGUUCGGUCCCUAUCUGCCGUGGGUGUAGGAGAUUUGAGAAGAGUUGCCCCUAGUACGAGAGGACCGGGGUGAACGAUCCACUGGUGGACCAGUUGUUAUGCCAAUAGCAGUGCUGGGUAGCUAUGAUCGGAAAGGAUAACCGCUGAAGGCAUCUAAGCGGGAAGCCCCCUUCAAAACAAGAUCUCCCUGAGGACCGUGGUAGACCACCACGUCGAUAGGCCAGAGGUGUAAGCACAGCAAUGUGUUCAGCUGACUGGUACUAAUGGUCCGAUAGGCUUGAUUUGA